AGCAGCCGCCGCGGUAGUACGUAGGUGGCAAGCGUUGUCCGGAAUUAUUAGGCGUAAAGGGCUCGCAGGCGGUUUCUUAAGUCUGAUGUGAAAGCCCCCGGCUCAACCGGGGAGGGUCAUUGGAAACUGGGAAACUUGAGUGCAGAAGAGGAGAGUGGAAUUCCACGUGUAGCGGUGAAAUGCGUAGAGAUGUGGAGGAACACCAGUGGCGAAGGCGACUCUCUGGUCUGUAACUGACGCUGAGGAGCGAAAGCGUGGGGAGCGAACAGGAUUAGAUACCCCGGUAGUCCCUGUCUCUUAUAC
rnacentral:rRNA from 1 species